rnacentral:tRNA from 1 species
UAGCUCAGCCAGUUGAGUGUAACACUAACAAUGCUAAGGUUGCGGGUUUGAGUCCCGU